rnacentral:rRNA from 1 species
UACGUAGGGGGCAAGCGUUGUCCGGAAUCAUUGGGCGUAAAGCGCGUGUAGGCGGUUCGAUAAGUCUGCUGUGAAAGUCCAGGGCUCAACCCUGGAAAGCCGGUGGAUACUGUCGGACUAGAGUGCGGAAGAGGCGAGUGGAAUUCCCGGUGUAGCGGUGAAAUGCGCAGAUAUCGGGAGGAACACCAAUUGCGAAGGCAGCUCGCUGGGACGUUACUGACGCUGAGACGCGAAAGCGUGGGGAGCGAACGGG